GACCUGUUCGUUCUUCUUUGGGCUAUAAGAAGGCAGAGGAUGAGAUGUCCCGGGCCACGUCUGUUGGAGACCAGCUGGAGGCACCCGCCCGCACCAUUUACCUCAACCAACCGCAUCUCAACAAAUUCCGCGACAACCAGAUCAGUACGGCCAAGUACAGCGUGUUGACAUUUCUACCUCGAUUCUUGUAUGAGCAGAUUAGAAGAGCUGCUAAUGCCUUCUUUCUCUUCAUUGCCUUAUUACAGCAAAUUCCAGAUGUAUCUCCAACAGGAAGAUAUACCACCCUGGUGCCAUUGAUCAUUAUUUUAACAAUUGCAGGCAUCAAAGAGAUUGUAGAAGAUUUUAAGCGACACAAGGCAGACAAUGCAGUUAACAAAAAGAAAACAAUAGUGUUAAGAAAUGGUAUGUGGCAUACCAUUAUGUGGAAAGAGGAGAAUCCGCCACCCUUUAAAGAAAUUUCUCCUUUAUAGUGUUUU
rnacentral:sRNA from 1 species